rnacentral:tRNA from 1 species
UUAGCAUGGCUGAAUAUAGGCAAUAAAUUGUAAAUUUAUUUAUGGACAUUAGAGUUCUGCUAUCAA